AGGACGAACGCUGGCGGCGUGCUUAACACAUGCAAGUCGAACGGGAUCCAACGAGUGGCAACACGAGGGAAGAUCUAGUGGCGAACGGGUGAGUAACACGUGGGCAACCUGCCCCUAGCUCUGGGAUAACUCCGGGAAACCGGUGCUAAUACCGGAUAUGACCUCAUUUGGCAUCCUUUGAGGUGGAAAGAUUUAUUGGCUAGGGAUGGGCCCGCGGCCUAUCAGCUUGUUGGUGGGGUAAUGGCCUACCAAGGCGACGACGGGUA
rnacentral:rRNA from 1 species